rnacentral:tRNA from 1 species
GGGAUAUUAGUAAACAUAUUACAUAGCCUUGUCAAGACUAAAUCACAGGUGAAAACCCUGUAUACCCCC